rnacentral:rRNA from 1 species
UACGUAGGGUGCGAGCGUUGUCCGGAAUUAUUGGGCGUAAAGAGCUCGUAGGCGGUCUGUCGCGUCGGUCGUGAAAACUUGGGGCUUAACCCUGAGCUUGCGGUCGAUACGGGCAUGACUGGAGUUCGGUAGGGGAGACUGGAAUUCCUGGUGUAGCGGUGAAAUGCGCAGAUAUCAGGAGGGACACCGGUGGCGAAGGCGGCAUCCUGGACCGGUAUUGACGCUGAGGCGCGAAAGCCAGGGGAGCAAACGGG